rnacentral:rRNA from 1 species
GAUGAACGCUAGCGGCAUGCCUUACACAUGCAAGUCGAACGGCAGCGGACCUUCGGUGCCGGCGAGUGGCGAACGGGUGAGUAAUAUAUCGGAACGUACCUUUCAGUGGGGAGUAACGUAGCGAAAGUUACGCUAAUACCGCAUAUUCUGUGAGCAGGAAAGCAGGGGAGUCGCAAGACCUUGCGCUGAUUGAGCGGCCGAUAUCAGAUUAGCUAGUUGGUUGAGGUAAAGGACGUCACCAACGGCGACGAUCUGUAGCGGGUCUGAGAGGAUGAUCCGCCACACUGGAACUGAGACACGGUCCAGACUCCUA